CCAAGGAGUCUAACAUGUGCGCGAGUCAUUGGGACCGCAAAACCUAAAGGCGUAAUGAAAGUGAAGGUCGACCUUGCGUCGACUGAGGGAGGAUGGGCUGCGUCACGAUGCAGCCCCGCACUCCCGGGGCGUCUCGUACUCAUUGCGAGUAGAGGCGCACCCAGAGCGUACACGUUGGGACCCGAAAGAUGGUGAACUAUGCCUGGUCAGGACGAAGUCAGGGGAAACCCUGAUGGAGGUCCGUAGCGAUUCUGACGUGCAAAUCGAUCGUCGGAACUGGGUAUAGGGGCGAAAGACUAAUCGAACCAUCUAGUAGCUGGUUCCCUCCGAAGUUUCCCUCAGGAUAGCUGGCACUCGCGUGAGCGAGUCUCAUCUGGUAAAGCGAAUGAUUAGAGGCCUUGGGGCCGAAACGACCUCAACCUAUUCUCAAACUUUAAAUGGGUGAGAUCUCUGGCUUGCUUAAACAGUGAAGCCACGAGAUUUCGGAUCAGAGUGCCAAGUGGGCCAAUUUU
rnacentral:rRNA from 1 species